AUCAUAUCAAUCCGUGGCAAAAAAAAAACACAUUUUCAAAAUCCUUUUUUAAAUCAAUAUUUGGUGUCAAAUGAUUGAUUUCUUUAGUAAGUGUAAUAAGCGGGAUACGCUGUACAUUAUCCCUUACUUAAAGUUUUUAAGGCCAAAAUCACUCCACUCUCUCCCAUUGGAGUGAUGUUUGUGUCAGCUGAUGAAGGUCUGUCCGGUCUGUCAGCUCUGCGUUUGGUCUCCAGCAGCUGCUGAGGGAAACAUCUGGCUCUUCAGCUGCUAGAUGCUCCGCUAUGUUCACCAGCUGCUCUCUGACUGCGUCUGCCUGCUGUCUGCUGCCGAGCAGGUAGUGCACAGCGGGUUUAUCGGCUGUCUGCUGCUGCUGGAGACGAGGUUGAUGAACCCACAGACAACGAUCACCCAGAUUUAUACAGUACAAUCAGCGAUAAAAGCAGCGAAACAUAUGCAGGUACGAACAGAGCCUGCGCUACGUAGAGACGAGAGAGACGGCUCUUACGACGCACAGAAUCAUCAAUAGCAUGACAACAAUCAACAAAUCAACAGAUUGCUAGGCCCGGUGAAGUGUGGAUAUCAUGCACAGUCCUGGUUCAGUCUCAGCGCCGUCCUCAGCGUCGUCUCCGGGUGUGGCCUGCAGCGGUUUGAACUGCUUUCUCAGCUCUCUUUUUUCAUUCUGACUACUUUUGUCACUUUUUGUGUGAACAACUGAGUGCAACUCUACAAGGAAAGAUUGUCUUCAAGGAGAGAGUGUCAGAAAGUGUGCACCGGCAUUCCCAUAUUUGAAGGAUUAUCUGACUCCUCUCUGUGUCGGCAGGUUUUUCACCUUCCAGUGUGGCCGUUCAGAACAGACUGCGGAUCAGACAAAACAAGACAUUCUGAAAAGUCACCAUGGGUUUUGGGAACUUGAAUUUGAACUUGAACCUGAAUUUGCUAAUAUUUUACAGACCAAAGAGAAAAUUAUUGGAAGAUUAUUCGAUAAUGACAAAAAUUGCUAGUUGCAGCCCUAUUCCUUUCAAUUCAACAAUACUGACUUAUUAGAAGCAUUUUUGCGACUGAUUUAGGUGAAUCAGUGUUGUUAGGAGACCUUAUGAAACAAAUAACAGCUAACAAAGAACAAGCUAAAAACAUAGAAAUGCAUCUGUAGUGCUGUGAUUUUUGUUGUGUGAAAACACAGAUGUGAGGGAGUUGAGCAAUUGACUGAAUAGUCCCUGUUUAGGGGUCACUUGUGUUCAACACAUUCAUUCAUGAGACACAAAACUUAUGUUGCCAUGGUAGUUGUGACAGAAUGGAAAUCAAAGUGCGUCUGUUGCAGCAACGGGGAAAUGAAUCGAUGCUUCCUUUUUAAAAAAACGAGAGUUAGAGUCGAUUUACAGAAGUGUGUCGGGAUGUGUCAUCGGUUUCUCUUGCUCACCAUAAAAAAAAAACCAAACAGUAAUUCAUCUAUCAUGAAG